CCCAUGGAACGCGUGUCCCGCAUGGGAUGCGCGUCAAACCCCGGGGACGGGGACGGGUGCGGACGAUUAGCUAGUUGGCGGGGCAACGGCCCACCAAGGCGACGAUCGUUAGCUGAUGAGAGCAUGGUCAGCCACACGGGCACUGAGACACGGGCCCGACUCCUACGGGAGGCAGGUAAGGAAUAUUGGUCAAUGGGCGCAGGCCUGAACCAGCCAUGCCGCGUGGAGGACGAGCCCUCCGGGUCGUAAACUCCUUUUACCCGGGACGAAAAAAGCCCUUUUGAGGGCACUACGGUACCGGGGGAAUAAGCACCGGCUAACUCCGUGCCAGCAGCCGCGGUAAUACGGAGUGCGAGCGUUAUCCGGAUUCACUGGGUUUAAAGGGUGCGCAGGCGGGCUUUUAAGUCCGGUGAAACCCGCGGGCUCAACCCGCGGACUGCCGAUGAUACUAGGGGCCUUGGAUGUCUGAGGGCAGCGGAAUGGGGCAUGUAGCGGUGAAAUGCAUAGAUAUGCCCCGGAACACAUUGCGGAGGCAGCUGCCUAAAGGACGAUCGACGCUGAGGCACGAAAGCGUGGGUAGCACAGGAUUAGAUACCCUGGUAGUCCACGCCCUAAACGAUGAUUACUCGACGUCCGCGG
rnacentral:rRNA from 1 species